rnacentral:rRNA from 1 species
CAGCAGCCGCGGGAAUACGUAGGGUGCAAGCGUUAAUCGGAAUUACUGGGCGUAAAGCGUGCGCAGGCGGUUAUAUAAGUCGGAUGUGAAAUCCCCGGGCUCAACCUGGGAACUGCAUUUGAGACUGUAUGGCUAGAGUGUGUCAGAGGGGGGUAGAACUCCACGUGUAGCAGUGAAAUGCGUAGAUAUGUGGAGGAAUACCGAUGGCGAAGGCAGCCCCCUGGGAUAACACUGACGCUCAUGCACGAAAGCGUGGGGAGCAAACAGGAUUAGAUACCCCCGUAGUCCCUGUCUCUUAUAC